CCUUAUCCCUAACCUCCUGACCCCAACCAUCCCACACAUCACGCCAUGGAUUGCGCCGCCGCCCUGCUCAACAGCCAACGCCGUCGCCGCCUGCCCCAUCCGUCGUCGCUCCCGCCGCAUCAACCCUCUGCCGCAUCCCACCGCCAUCAUGAACCAUCUCUCUCCUUGGUCUUCUGUCUUUGACCAAUACUGGGUGGCGGCUGUGCUUCCGGUCGCGUGGUGGCGAUGUGGCUGGUCGAGGGAACACAGUGUUCCUGUUGUGCCCCUUCACACAUUGGACCACCGUGGCGCGGAAGUACAUGGAGAAGAUCGCGCUGCUCUUAGCAAAUUCGGGUGUUUUGAGUCGGCUACCCAGCAAGGGGUAUGGUCACAUGGAUGAUUAGCAUCUUUUGGCAAAAGCAUGUUAAUUCACUGAAGAAAUACUACUGCACCUAUGACUAUGAGCGGAGAUGUCCACUCACGAUUUUUGAGGACCACUUGAGGAUGUGAUCAGUAGUGCAGCUUCAAAGCUGCUUGAUAUGACAUAGUGUUUGAUUUUUACAAAUCUGAAAGUCAAGCCUAAGCAAUGUUACGGUUCAGAUCUAAACCUUAAACUUACUGAUUAUUUGUUGUGCGUUACUAAUCUGACCGGCCAUCGAUCUCCACCUUAACCUUAUUUAUCUUUCUUAUUAGCUCCACGUCUCUAGCGUCUAUAGAGUCCUAACCCAAGAAUAUCUCCUGCCGCCUUCAGUCCAAACCCUCGGCAAGAGUCUCCCCUGCAUCCUCCUCUUCUCCUUGCCGCCUAUGUCUCCUUCUUUUGCUCCUCGGGUCGCUAUUGUGACGCGUCCGUCGUCUUUUUCAUGAGGAGCUAGAUGAUUUCAGUCUGAGAUUACAUCCUCCUAUAGAGAAUCCUACCCUUUCCAUGCUGUCACUGUAGCCAGGUCUAGCAAAGGGGAUAAAUUUAUGUUGCAAAUGAGAUGCUAAAGUUUAUAUGCAGAGGUGUGCAACUCUGUAUCCAUCAACAUCCAUACUUCAGGGUGGAGUAGAGGAAGGGAGCAUUUACCAGAGAUGUGUUUUUAGCAGCAUUAUUUUUAGAUAAAAUAAUUAUACCUGCUUUUAUCUGUAAGCUGCACACAGGGCAGAGGAUGCAAUUUGGUUUAGAAGAAGAAGAAAACACAUUGACACUAUGGCUUAUAAUUCUUAUGAUAGUAUCAGAAAAUAUAUGCAAUAUGAUUUAGGUAACAAAAACACAGCAUUAUGUCUUCGUUGGAAAAUUUGCCACUCCGGAGACAUAGACAGAAUUAUCACUUUCAUCUUAUUAAUGGUAUUUUCUUAAAGUAAGAAGAUAAAGAAGAGAUGGGUUUAUAUGAAGCAGGCCUGCCGCAAGAGUCAAAAGAUGAUGUCUCAGUAUUUCACAUUUAAAGCAAGGACAAGUGCUCAUAAAUGAUUAUAUGUAUCUACUUUAUUAAACUAGCAUAUUAACUAAUCACCCGAAUCCAUGUACUCUAUAUUCUUACUGAUUGCAUGACGUUCUUUUGCUUCUUGAUAAAUAUGUCCAUUUUCAUUAUUAUUUCAUAAUAUCUGCUAUGUACAGUGGCAUCAUUGAGCAUUCCUUUACUUUUCACAUUUCAGUUCAAUGUUCUGCACAGUGCACAGUAUAACGCUACAUUGGAUGGCGCUAUUAAAUACUUCGAGGUCAUGUGACAGAGCACGAAAAAAGAACUAUUGAGGCCCCUCCGAUUGCUAUUAGGAAUGUGGAAGGUUGACCAGCCGUCUCUUCCUCUCCAUGGUGUGCAUGUUAAGAACUUAUGCAGCAGCGGACGCCAAUUUCAUGGAGCCGUCAGCAUCAACUUUUGUGGAGUCCUCUUCUAGGAUCUGAUACGAGUCCCUCCGACAUCAGAUAAGGUUUGGGUAUGCAUGAGGACGAAUCGGAUAAUCAAUUGCAAACUAAUUGUAUCGUAUGUUGUGUACUAUCGACGCAUUUGCUUGGGUGGAAAAGUCUCGCUUCUGAUUACAGCACUUUCAGAAGACAGUAGAAGUCGUUUGGUUCAGCCCUUCUGAUUUGUGUUACGGUGCUAUCGGAUAAAGCGCUUCACUUCGCUUCCGUGAAAAAGUCCGAUCACGGCUGGAUACAGGAUCCUCUCCACUACGCAUUCACUCACGGCCAAGCCAAACAAAACGCAUAUUCAGGACUCAGGAGGAAAUAUCAGAGGCAAAGCUUCCCGACAGUAAAAAUCAAAAACGAUACAAACGUGGAACCAAACGCCUCCCAUAUUUCUUCGGUUCCACUUGGAAAACAUAGAUUGAUUAUGUAUCAAUAAACCAUGUGUUAGUCAAGACAAAAACAUGGAUGUGAAGCUCAGGUUUGUUAAGUUGUUUGGCUGUACGUGUGACAUGGUUCAUAUACAUAUUGCUAGCUACUUUAUUUUUCAUUCAUUAAUAAUACUAUAUUGAAGAAAAUUACCAUGUUAUUUUGGUUAUCAUUGUCAUUUAGUAUCUAAUACUAUUUUACCCCAUGGUUAUAGUUAUAUUUUCAAAUACAUAUCAAUGUGCUUUAUAUUUUAUGCGGAACUUUCGCUUAUUGGGAAGUGAACAAAUGUGAGCCAUCCUUCCAUAAAAAAAUGACAUGGCACUUUUCUUAAGUAGGUUAUUAUCCUGUUAUGUGGUAGAAUAAUAAGCGUUCUCUAAUUAAUAAUUCAAUAAAAUCAGUCCUAACCGUUGUCAAAUUGCAUCUUAGAUUGUCUAUAUAUAUUAUAAUCACCGCAUGCACUUUUCAAUUACCAACUUGGAUCACCUUCCAGCUGCAUCUUUGGUGAGAGGAAUACGGAACAGACGAAUUGGUAACUUCUCUUUUGUGAGAGAAAGAUAAUUUGGUAGCUCAGUUGGACAUGCUCUUUCAAUUAUAAAAUGAGUUACUGCAGGGUCAAAUGGUCCAGAACUCCGUAGCAUAGACUUUGGCUAAAGUUAGAUGGUGCCUUAGUGGAUAAAAGAAAAGAGAAAUACUACUAUUACAUGGAAAACAUUUCAAGUUUGUACCAUGUGAACCAAAGUGUAGGUUGGAUCAGUUCUAACCUUUUGGUUUUCCCGUGCGCUUCGUUCUGACAGGGUUGCUAUCAAAAAAACAUAGUUCAUGCAUGUUUUGGAUAUGAUUAUUUUAUACAAUUAGUCUAUGCUUUAUUAAAAAAUCCGUAAUUAGAACGCCCUAAAAAUAAUAGUAUGAGAAAUAGUAAGUGAAUAAAACUAGCAUUUUCUAAUAUUCAUCUUUCAGGCUAUAUUAGUUGUAUAAAUAUUGAUUCUUCUUCAGGAUGCCUAAGCAAACACAGAUUUUUUGUCGAAUCUGUUGUACAAUGAAAUAAGCAUACUGUGAUGCAUGUGUUCCAAAACAAUCUGUAGUGUGAAGAAAUUAAAAUUUCAACAGCUUAACUAUAAGGCUAUAUUCAUCAUACCUUUUUUCCAAAGGGUUUAAGUAAUGCAUUGUUGAAAGCUAGCCCGUGCAUGUGCACGGGUCGACGACUAGUAGUUCUAAUGCAUGAUAUAGUCUCUAGGCACUUGUGGGAGUAGUUGCUAUCAAUCUUAUUGAGUUUGGUUUACUUUUAUUUUGAGUUACUAAAAAUUUCAGAAACUUUUUCAGAGAAAAAUGCAUAGAAAGUUGUAUCAAGGUGGUUCUUCAAGGAAGCAAGGACCGAGGCUUGCAAUACGUGAGCCAGAUGAUGAACUACCUGGGGAAGCUUACGUGCGGCCUUGUGAAUGGCCGUCAAAAGAGUUUAUGGUUCGAGCAGGCAUUAAGGAUGAAUUCGAUGCAUAUGUGCGUAAUGCUGAUCUUGAGGAAUUCAUGCAAGAUAAGUGCCCUCAAUACCAAUAUUUAACUGAUUCAUUUGUGAGAAGGUUUAAAUUUACAUCUUCGCGUAAUUGUCACAAUGUACUGUUUGAUCUUUAUGAUAAAUCAUAUACCAUGGUCUUAGAAGAUUUUACUACUGCUUGUAAACUCCCACAAUGGGUAGUGCUAGUGAACCUCGCAAAUUUGAAUUUAAAGAUUUUCUUACUAGUAUCACUAUGGGGGAAUCCAGAGAAAUAGCACAAGCCACCAUAGGGAGCAUUCAUUUUCCUGCUAUACAUUAUUUUGCUCUUUUUAUAGGCAGAUGCGUAAAUGGUAAGAACGAAGCAUGUCACAUGUGUGUUCCUGACCUUAGCAUUCUCAGGAGUGCGGUGUUAGGAGAUAAACAAUAUAACUUGGGGGUCAUCGUUGCAUGUAGGUUGCAUAAUAAUGGUUUAAUUGGAGAUUUGUUUAGUGGGAUUUAUGCAACCUGUAUAGCUAAUUAUCUUGGGGUACCCAUACAUGAAAAUGAUAGAGAGUUGAUUUCUGCUUACCUAGAUUAUAAUGCCAUGGUUAACCACCAGUUUAUUGAAAGGAAAGAACAAUCCCUCCAAUAUCGACUAAUCUUUGACAGACGUCGCGCUAUCCAUAUUACUCUCCCUGCUCCUGCUUUCUUUGACUAUCAGGCAAAAAGAAGAUAUAUUAUAACCAGGGAGGAAGCGAACGAGUACGAGAAGAGGACGGAGGCAGCUCGCCGCCAGGCUGUCGCUCGUGAGGCAAUGGCUUGUGCAUCUCAGUACGACCCCAGUUACAACUUCGAAUAUCCACCAGGCCAUCCAUGGGCAUAGACCAACUUAGGCCAAAAGCCUAAGCUUGGGGGGUACAUAUUUCUCACCGACAUCACAUUCAUGUUCACACACUCAUUCUAGUUGUCGGUGCUCAUACUUUUUCACUGUGCUAUCCAUGCUAGUUUAUAUUUUAUUUUCUUGCUUUCUUCUCGUGUGUUUGAAUAAUCUUAAGAAAAAAAUUAGUAAUAGCUUUUAGCUAGUUUACUUUUCAUGCCUGUAGUAGUAAUAAUUAAAAGAAAACUCAAAAAGAUUUCUCAUUCUUCCUUUUGCUUGUUGGGAGCUUUCCCGUGUAAAUAGUUUUAUUUCCAUUCUUUGGGGGUUAAAAGGAGAAGACCUUAAUAGAAUUUUUAAGUGUCUCUUUUAUGCAUAAUUGAUUGAUUUAACCAAGAUCCCAUAUUAUAUUGUCUUCUCUCUUAAAUUGAAUGCUUGCAGAUUCCAGCUUAGUCCAAUGCACGUGCACUAUUAUUAUUAUCCACACUGUUCGGUCGUGCAAGUGCAAGGAAAUAAUGAUGAUAUAUGUUGAAAUGAUUGAGAUAAAAGGAGCUGGUAUGAACUUGACCUAUCUUGUUUUUGUAAAUAUGAUUAGUUCAUCGUUCCUGAUUCAACUUAUUAUGAAUAAACAUGUUUGCAAUGACAAGUAGAGAUUAUAGUUGCUUAUGUCAUGCUUAAUUAGCUAGGAGUCUAUAAUGGUUUACCUUGCGUGCCAACAUGCUAUUAAAAUGAUUGUGAUGUGGUAUGAUAAGGUGGUAUCCUCCUUUGAAUGAUUCGAGUGACUUGACUUGGCACAUGUUCAUGCAUGUCAUUCAAACAAAAUCAACAUAGCCUUCAUGAUAUUUAUGUUAAUGGUGGAUUAUAUCCUACUCAUGCUUGCACUCAGUGUCUAUUAAUUUUAAUGCAUGUUCAUGACUGUUGUCGCUCUCUAGAUGGUCGCUUCCUAGUCUUUUUCUAGCAUUCACCUGUACUAAGCAGGAACACUGCUUGUGCAUCCACUACCAUAAACCCCAAAGUUAUUCCAUGUGAGUCCACCAUACUUUCCUAUAUGCGGUAUCUACAUGCCGUUCCAAGUAAAUUUGUAUGUGCCAAACUCUAAACCUUCAAAUGAAAUUCUGUUUUGUAUGCUCGAACAUCUCAUGUAUCAACUAGGGUUGUCUGUAUCUUCCAUGCUAGCCGGGUUAUUCUCAAGAGGAGUGGACUCCGCUCCUUAGUCACGAGAAAAUGCCUGGUCACCGGGAUGCUCAGUCCCAUGCUCAAAUCAAAUCAAAAUAAUUGCAAAUGAAACUCCCCUAGGAUUGUUAUUAGUUGGAGGCACUCGUUGUUUUGGGCAAGCCAUGGAUUGAUGCUUGUUGGUGGAGUGGGAGUAUAAACUUUACCAUUCUGUUUGGGAACCGCAUAUAAUGUGUUUAGCAUGGAAGAUGUCGAGAUCUCUUGGUUGUUAUGUUGACAAUGAAAGUAUACCACCCAAAAUAUUAUUAUCUCUGUUUUAAAAGUCGAGCUUUGGCACCUCUACAAAUCCCUGCUUCCCUCUGCGAAGGGCCUAUCUAUUUACUUUUAUGUUGAGUCAUCGCCCUCUUAUUUAAAAGCAACAGUUGGAGAGCACCUUUGUCAUUUUCUUGCAUUACUAUUAUUCUAUAUUGUGUAUGACUAUGACUGGAUCUCUUUUACCAUGAAUUACAAUGUUUAGUCAGUCCUUCAUCUUUAAAGGUGCUCUGCAUUUAUGUUUUGCGGUCCCAGGAAGGGCUAGCAAGAUAUCAUCUUGUUAUAUCAUAUUAUGAUUGUUUUGAGAAAGUGUUCUCAUCCGAGUUUUAUUAUUAUUGCUCGCUAGUUGAUUAUGCCAUUUGAUAUGAGUAAACAUGAGACCUAAGUGUUAUUGUGAAUAUGGUUAGUUCAUAAUCUUUGCUGAAAACUUGAAUGCUGGCUUUACAUAUUUACAACAACAAGAGCAAACAGAGUUUGUAAAAGUUUUCUUUAUCACUUUCAGUUUAUCAACUGAAUUGCUUGAGGACAAGCAAAGGUUUAAGCUUGGGGGAGUUGAUAUGUCUCCGUCGUAUCUACUUUUCCAAACACUUUUGCCCUUGUUUUGGACUCUAGCUUGCAUGAUUUGAAUGGAACUAACCCAGACUGACGUUGUUUUCCGCAGAACUGCCAUGUGUUAUUUUUGUGCAGAAAAUAAAAGUUCUCGGAAUGACCUGAAACUCCAUAGAAGUUAUUUUUGGAUUUAAUAAAAAAUACUGGCGAAAGAAUCAAGGCCAGGGGGCCCACACCCUGUCCACGAGGGUGGGGGGCGCCCCCCCUAGGGCACGCCCCCUGCCUCAUGGGCCCCCUGGUGCUCCAGCGACCUCAACUCCAACUCCAUAUAUUCACGUUCGGGGAGAAAAAAACCAGAGAGAAAGAUUCAUCGUGUUUUACGACACGGAGCCGCCGCCAAGCCCUAAACUCUCGCGGGAGGGCUGAUCUAGAGUCCGUUCGGGGCUUCGGAGAGGGGAAUCCGUUGUCGUCAUCAUCAUCAUCAACCAUCCUCCAUCACCAAUUUCAUGAUGCUCACCGCCGUGCGUGAGUAAUUCCAUCGUAGGCUUGCUGGACGGUGAUGGUUUGGAUAAGAUUUACCAUGCAAUCAAGUUAGUUUUGUUAGGGUAUGAUCCCUAGUAUCCACUAUGUUCUAAGAUUGAUGUUGCUAUGACUUUGCUAUGCUAAAUGCUUGUCACUAGGGCCCGAGUGCCAUGAUUUUAGAUCUGAACUUAUUAUGUUUUCAUGAAUACAUGUGAGUUCUUGAUCCUAUCUUGCAAGUCUAUAGUCACCUAUUAUGUGUUAUGAUCCCAC
rnacentral:rRNA from 1 species